rnacentral:rRNA from 1 species
UAGUAUUCAAUUGUCAGAGGUGAAAUUCUUGGGUUUAUUGAAGACUAACUACUGCGAAAGCAUUUGCCAAGGAUGUUUUCAUUAUUCAAGAACGAAAGUUUGGGGAUCGAAGACGAUCAGAUACCGUCGUAGUCUUAACCAUAAACUAUGCCGACUAGGGAUCGGAUGAUGUUAAUUUUUUAAUGACUCA